GUUCUUAUGGACACUACGAAGUGGCUGAGCUCCUGGUGAGGCACGGUGCUUCUGUCAACGUGGCAGACCUGUGGAAAUUCACUCCUCUGCAUGAAGCAGCAGCAAAAGGAAAAUAUGAAAUCUGCAAGCUGCUUUUAAAACAUGGAGCUGAUCCAACAAAGAAGAAUCGAGAUGGUAACACUCCUCUAGAUUUGGUGAAAGAAGGAGACACAGAUAUCCAGGAUUUACUGCGAGGAGAUGCUGCCUUGCUGGAUGCUGCUAAGAAGGGAUGCCUGGCACGAGUGCAGAAGCUAUGUACCCAAGAAAAUAUCAAUUGCAGAGACACCCAGGGAAGAAAUUCAACACCACUACAUCUUGCAGCUGGUUACAACAAUUUGGAAGUAGCUGAAUACCUUCUUGAACAUGGUGCUGAUGUUAAUGCCCAGGACAAAGGAGGAUUAAUCCCCCUACACAAUGCAGCAUCCUAUGGG